CGCCUCUUGCUUCAUAUAAGAGGUCCAGCCUGCCCAGUGACUCUGUUUAACGGCCGCGGUACCCUAACCGUGCAAAGGUAGCGUAAUCACUUGUUCUUUAAUUAAGGACUUGUAUGAAAGGCACCACGAGGGCCCAACUGUCUCCUUUUUUUAAUCAGUGAAACUAAUCUCCCCGUGAAGAAGCGGGGAUUUUUUUAUAAGACGAGAAGACCCUAUGGAGCUUCAAAUUUUACGACACCUGNCCCCCCCCCCUNUUUUUUUUCCNGAAAAUNUUUCCCCCCCCCCAGCACCUGUCUGUAAAUUUUUCGGUUGGGGCGACCCCGGAGAACAAUUUAUCCUCCGCAAUGAAAAGAUCCUGUCUUUAAUAGAAAGCCACAGCUUCAUAUACCAGUACAACUGACAUGCAUUGACCCAAAAUUUUGAUCAACGAACCAAGUUACCCUAGGGAUAACAGCGCUAUCCACUUAGAGAGUCCCUAUCGACAAGUGGGCUUACGACCUCGAUGUUGGAUCAGGGUACCCCAGAGGUGCAGCCG
rnacentral:rRNA from 1 species